GUUCAGACUACGGAAUCUGAGGUACACGCAUAUCACAGCACACAUGUGGAGGUCAGAAGACAAUGUCUGCUGCCAAUCACUGCCUUCCACUUUGUUUGAGAUGGAACCACAGGAGUAAACGUGGGCAACCCAAAAGCCUGCUCACCGAGUCCUCUUCUCAGGAUUUCCUGGACCAGGCACCAAGAGACAGAGCUAGGAGUCUCUCUCUAUGCACUGUAGCUGAAGGAGCCACUGAGGUAGAGACUGGGAGUCGCCAGCAGUGUCCUCUGCAGUGAGACAGGGAGUUUCUAGGGAGAUGAGUAAGGGAGCAGAAAGCAGGGGAGACGAGGCACCCAUGAGACCUGGGUCGUCUUUGAGUUCUCAUUUCUUGUCCUCAAUUCCAUGACAACCCCAGGAUGCUUACAAGGAAUUCCUUUGUUAUAAGCUGAGUACUGCAUUCUGUUCUGGAUGCUUGGGCUGUGAAUUAUGUUCUAUGCAUGGUUCUGGGUUAUAGUAAGAAUGAGAUUUAUAAAGACAGAGGGAGACUAAGACAGCCAUUCUCAGGUCACCAUGGUCAGAAGGAUGGGUGAGCCUCUAUUUGUUCCGGACUUCGAGGCCAGCCUGGUCUACAGAGGGAGUUCCAGGGUAGCUAGGGCUUACACAGAGAAAUCCUGUCUAGAAAACAAACAAGUAAACAGAAGAGAGAAAGAAAAAAAGAAAGAAAG
rnacentral:lncRNA from 1 species